rnacentral:tRNA from 1 species
GGAGAGUACAGCUCAGUGGUAGAGCAUGUGCUUAGCAUGCAUGAGGUCGUGGGUUCAAUCCCCAGUACCUCCA